AUAUCACAUAGAGCUGGCAAUACACACACACACACACACACACACAGAGAGAGAGAGAGAGGUAGUAUAAUAAUUCAGAAAGAAAAGUGAAAAUAAUUGCUUCUAUCUGUCUAACUGUUGAUAGUUUUAAGAAUUGAAGAGAAAAUUUGGAAUUGGGAGAGGAUAUACAGGAAUGAGAGAGACAGAGGAAAGAUAGUUUUAGAGCGAGAAAGCGAGGGGAUGGGAUGAUGAAUGAUGAGAGAGAGAGA